AUAUCAAUAAGCGGAGGAAAAGAAACCAACAGGGAUUGUCUUAGUAACGGCGAGUGAAGCGACAAAAGCUCAAAUUUGAAAUCUGGCGCCUUCGGUGUCCGAGUUGUAAUUUGAAGAAGGUAACUUUGGUUUUGGCUCUUGUCUAUGUUCCUUGGAACAGGACGUCACAGAGGGUGAGAAUCCCGUGCGAUGAGAUGCCCAAUUCCAUGUAAAGUGCUUUCGAAGAGUCGAGUUGUUUGGGAAUGCAGCUCUAAGUGGGUGGUAAAUUCCAUCUAAAGCUAAAUAUUGGCGAGAGACCGAUAGCGAACAAGUACAGUGAUGGAAAGAUGAAAAGAACUUUGAAAAGAGAGUGAAAAAGUACGUGAAAUUGUUGAAAGGGAAGGGUUUGAGAUCAGACUUGGUAUUUUGUAUGUUUUACUCUCGGGUGAGGCCUCUGCAGUUUACUGGGCCAGCAUCAGUUUGGAUG
rnacentral:rRNA from 2 species